AUUGAACGCUGGCGGCAGGCCUAACACAUGCAAGUCGAACGAGUGGCGGACGGGUGAGUAAUGUCUGGGAAACUGCCCGAUGGAGGGGGAUAACUACUGGAAACGGUAGCUAAUACCGCAUACCAUCGGAUGUGCCCAGAUGGGAUUAGCUAGUAGGUGGGGUAACGGCUCACCUAGGCGCCGAUCCCUAGCUGGUCUGAGAGGAUGACCCGCCACAUGGGAAAUGAGAAACGGUCCAGACCCCUAAGGGAGGCAGCAGUGGGGAAAAUUGCACAAUGGGCGGAAGCCUUAUGCAGCCAUGCCGCGUGUAUGAAGAAGGCCUUCGGGUUGUAAAGUACUUUAAGCGAGGAGGCGUUACUCGCAGAAGAAGCACCGGCUAACUCCGUGCCAGCAGCCGCGGUAAUAC
rnacentral:rRNA from 1 species